rnacentral:lncRNA from 1 species
UUAUUUACUAAUUAACUAGAAAUAAUAAAUCAUUUGAUUUCUAAUAAAUAUUUAGUUAUUAUUUAUAAUUAACUAAAUAAUUAAAAAUUAAUUUUUUAUUUAUAUUAGUUAACCAAUUAAUAUUUUGGUCAAUCUAACUAAUUAAAUAAUUAAGUAAUUAAUUUAUUAUUAAUUUCUUAAUUGAUUAAUUUAUUAAAUUAAUAUUGAUUUAUUAAUUUAUCAAAUUAUUUAUGGAUAGUUAAUUUAUUAAUUAGCAGCACUCGUGGUUAAUUAAUUAAUAGUAAAUUUGACGUUUUAAUUAUUUAUUGAUUAACAUUUAUAGUUAUCUAGAAGUAUUCAUGGUUAAUUAAUUAAUUAAAUAAUUUGAUUAUAAUUAAUUAGAUAAUAUAUUAUUAUUUGAAAUUAUAAUUACUUUUAUUAUUCAUACUAUUUCUCUCUAACUAUACAGGCAUUAUUUUUCUUAUUCCCGGAAGCAGCUUAAUUUUUAUCUUAUCCCUGAAGUUGUAUCCAUAUCAGGAAUAACAAAAAAUAUCUUACUCCUGAACCAAAUGAUAUCUAAUUUACUAUCAAUAAUAUUUUAACUUACCGAAUGUUCCUAACACAAAUGGCAAAAAGCUUGAUAGUUGGUAUCCGAGAUCCCAAGUAAAAAAUAAUACUAUAGCUUAAUUCGUUAAUAUUGAUAUAUACAUAACAAUAUUUCUAUAUAAACCGAUAAAUCGAUAUUAUACAUUUUUAAAUAAAUAUAAAUACAUACAGAUACAAAU